CACCACUAGUAGUUGAAGCUGCCAGCAUGAUCUGAGCUCUCCUUAUAUUGUCCUCAUGUGGGAGAGAUUAGAUCAUGUGGCAGCUUCACCUGUUGAUGGA
rnacentral:pre_miRNA from 1 species